GGUUUACUGAGGAAAACCAUAGAGAAGCAACUAGAUAUUACUAUAAAUUAUGAUCAUUAACUUUGAAUGCCCCUUCAAAAUUGCUUAAAAAGCACACAGAUUUGCAAAGACUUUCUUCUGUCGGGGUAUGCUUUGUCUUUUCUUGGAUGAAGACAAUGAUGCCUGCUAACUGGUCUUCUGACAUUAUUCUCUACCCCUGGCCUGAGGUGUCUUUCCAUUCUGCACAGCAAGGAUAGAGAGGUCAUUUCCAUCAC